AUUCUAUUAUUCUAGUAUAAAUUCAAGGGCCUUGGAGCUUGAUCUUGAAUUUGAAUUUGAUUUAUCCAUCACGAACACUUUGAUUUUUGCCCUGAAUUUUAUCACGAAUAAGUAGCCUUGAUCUUGAACGCAUUGUUGUUGAUUUGACUUCGUUCUUGAUCUUGAAUACUUGAAUUGUUCCUUGUUCUUGAGCUUGAAUACUUGAUCUAUUCUUUGUU
rnacentral:lncRNA from 1 species